rnacentral:rRNA from 1 species
AACGAACGCUGGCGGCGUGCCUAACACAUGCAAGUCGUGCGAGAAAGUUCCUUCGGGAGCGAGUAAAGCGGCGCACGGGUGAGUAACACGUAGGUAACCUGCCCCCCAGUCUGGAACAACUAGAGGAAACUCUAGCUAAUGCCGGAUGAGACCACGAUCCCUUCGGGGUUGCGGCCAAAGAUGGCCUCUACUUGUAAGCUAUCGCUGAGGGAUGGGCCUGCGGGCCAUUAGCUUGUUGGUGAGGUAACGGCUCACCAAGGCUGUGAUGGCUAGCUGGUCUGAGAGGAUGACCAGCCACACUGGGACUGAGACACGGCCCAGACUCCUACGGAGGCAGCAGUGGGAAUAGUUGCGCAAUGGGCGAAAG